rnacentral:rRNA from 1 species
AGAGUUUGAUCAUGGCUCAGGAUGAACGCUGGCGGCGUGCCUAACACAUGCAAGUCGAGCGAUCUUCUUCGGAAGAGAGCGGCGGACGGGUGAGUAACGCGUGGGUAACCUGCCUCAUACACAUGGAUAACAUACCGAAAGGUAUGCUAAUACAAGAUGAUAUAAGAGAUUCGCAUGGAUUUCUUAUCAAAGCUCCGGCGGUAUGGGAUGGACCCGCGUCUGAUUAGCUAGUUGGUAAGGUAACGGCUUACCAAGGCGACGAUCAGUAGCCGACCUGAGAGGGUGAUCGGCCACACUGGAACUGAGACACGGUCCAAACUCCUACGGGAGGCAGCAGUGGGGAAUAUUGCACAAUGGGCGAAAGCCUGAUGCAGCAACGCCGCGUGAGCGAUGAAGGCCUUCGGGUCGUAAAGCUCUGUCCUCAAGGAAGAUAAUGACGGUACUUGAGGAGGAAGCCCCGGCUAACUACGUGCCAGCAGCCGCGGUAAUACGUAGGGGGCUAGCGUUAUCCGGAUUUACUGGGCGUAAAGGGUGCGUAGGUGGUUUCUUAAGUCAGGAGUGAAAGGCUACGGCUCAACCGUAGUAAGCUCUUGAAACUGGGAAACUUGAGUGCAGGAGAGGAAAGUGGAAUUCCUAGUGUAGCGGUGAAAUGCGUAGAUAUUAGGAGGAACACCAGUAGCGAAGGCGGCUUUCUGGACUGUAACUGACACUGAGGCACGAAAGCGUGGGGAGCAAACAGGAUUAGAUACCCUGGUAGUCCACGCCGUAAACGAUGAGUACUACGUGUCGGGGGUUACCCCCCUCGGUGCCGCAGCUAACGCAUUAAGUACUCCGCCUGGGGAGUACGCUCGCAGAGUGAAACUCAAAGGAAUUGACGG